rnacentral:rRNA from 1 species
UGGGGAAUAUUGCACAAUGGGCGCAAGCCUGAUGCAGCCAUGCCGCGUGUAUGAAGAAGGCCUUCGGGUUGUAAAGUACUUUCAGCGGGGAGGAAGGUGUUGAGGCUAAUAACCUCAGCAAUUGACGUUACCCGCAGAAGAAGCACCGGCUAACUCCGUGCCAGCAGCCGCGGUAAUACGGAGGGUGCAAGCGUUAAUCGGAAUUACUGGGCGUAAAGCGCACGCAGGCGGUCUGUCAAGUCGGAUGUGAAAUCCCCGGGCUCAACCUGGGAACUGCAUACGAAACUGGCAGGCUAGAGUCUUGUAGAGGGGGGUAGAAUUCCAGGUGUAGCGGUGAAAUGCGUAGAGAUCUGGAGGAAUACCGGUGGCGAAGGCGGCCCCCUGGACAAAGACUGACGCUCAGGUGCGAAAGCGUGGGGAGCAAACA